rnacentral:lncRNA from 1 species
UAAUCCAAGCACAGAUGAUUUCACUGAUGGAGUUAAUUCCGCCCGGGAACCGAAUUGAAUUUGCAGCUGGCUUCCUGCAGCAGCUUCAUCCUGAACUAGGAUUGCAAAAUAAUAGCUUCCCCUCCAACUUGCACGAGCCUGCAAAUAUUGAGGGUCCUUCUGUCAUGGACAUACCAAGGGACGAUGGCCUUACUGAUGAAUCAAUUCAAUCAAUGUUUGGAACAAGUGAAGAAGAUGAAGAUAUUGGUGACAUGCAAAGUGCAGAUCUUGCUUAUGCCGACUUCUUGGAAGGAUCCAUGGAAACAGAGGUCAAAAUUCUUCACUUGAAAGUCAUUUGGUUUAUGUGAUUACAUGUAUAGUAAAGUUAGGUUAAUGAAUGGUUUAAAAUGCAUUGGAAGGGUACUUCCCUUUUCCAGGUUAUCUGAAAAAUAAGGAUGAUUUUGCUCCAAUCUUCUUUGUGUAGAAUAGUAAGUCCAUUAUAGAACCAGUCUAAGUGGACUUUCACUCAAGUUACUCGUGCUUAAUUGACUCUCAAUUACAUAAGAACGAUGGACAAUUUAAAAUAUAAUCUUGAAGUUUGGUUAUGAAAUUUAAGUUUAUGCCUCAAUUAUUUCCUCUGAUUCAUUUUAUCUCAUGCAAUCUGUGGUUGCAGUAUGACCAAACAUUUUACUCGCACCAUGAACAUCCUGUUCAAAUGAAUCGGCGAGCACAAACAACCGACUCAGUCCACGGUUUUGUUUCUCUCGAGGAAAAGAAAGGCAUGGUGGAGAAGAAGUUCAACGGCUCAACUGUCACCUCUGAGAAACCUAAGCUGCAUCCUGUACCUGGGGUGCCUCACAGACCUGUGGCACCUCCCAUACGACCUGCAAGUGAAAAAUGCUAUAGCAAAAAUGAAGAGCUGAAGUUCAGAAAGGUUAAGCAGGAAACUGCAGCCAAAAAUGUGAAGCCAGAACUCUUGUCUUUGGAUGAAACAGCAGCCAGAGCAAAGGUGAAGGCAGCUCCUAAACUUAACCCACCGUGUCUUAUUGCUAUUCUUAUAUGUUGACGUGCAUUUAUUGGGUAGUUAAUCAGAUGGUGGGAUUCCAUUUUUGACUGCGGCGAACUAUAUAUUGGAUUCUAGCAUUCUUUUACCAAAAGAAAGUGAAAUUUCACUCUAAACUCUUGCUUUAUCAAAUUUGAUUCAAAUAAGAAGAAGAAUGGUAAGAACACAGAGCAGAAAUAUAUCUUCUUAAAAAAAAAAUUGCAGAUGAGAUAUUGAACAAGGUAAUAAGAGAUGAUCAAAGGGCUGAUCAUGUGAUUAGAACUUCCAGACAAUUUGAGAACAAAAACAUGAAUGCUUGUCAUGAGAUGAAAAUAAUGCCUCAAUUAUUCCCGUCUAUCCAUUUGAUAUUAUGCAAUGCUUUGUUGCCGUAUGGCCAACUAUCUAUGAUGGACAAUUGCCUGACACAAACAGUUGAAAAGACCAGGAAAAUUCUGCAUUUGUAGUCUUCUGUUAAUCCUUUCCUCUUCUUUUUUCCCUAUCGGUUCACCAUUUAAAACACUUCAUGUUGGCAGGUACGAAAAUACAAAGAGCGCAGUCCAGACCGUAAUUCAACCAAGAAGACAAACAGCAAGGAGAAUGAAUAUGCCAGAGAGAAAUCAAAUUUAGUGGCUGCAUCCACCGUAACAACCAGCGAGGGCACAAAAAGUUCCACAAAUUCUCCACUGUCUUAUCUUGUGAAUGUUCUCGUUGCAAUUUUCAUGUUGCUCACCAUCACUCGCCUAGUACUUAAUUUCUGAUUUUCGCUGCUAAUUUUCCCUGGGUGCAACGCAGCAUGAUUGACAAGUGCAAUUGUAAAAGUGGGUUUUGUAUGUCGUGUCACAAUUCAUGUAAAUGUAGCUUGUCUUCCUUUUGAUGCUCAUGCUUUGCACUUCCUUUUGCUUCGGUGGAAUUGGAAGAUCUACCUAGAUAUGCAACUGCUCUGUAAUUUUACUUUCUUCAUUCUCUGCCGUAUAAGGCGAAGAAUCAAAAAGUUGCUACAGCGAUGUUUCCUUUAAAAGUUCCGUGUCUUUCUUUAGUUUAUCAGACUAAUUGAAGGAUCAACCCAAUGAGAUUCGUUGUUCCUGUAGGCACGGUCCAUGGACUUAACAUGCAAACUAAUCAGUCUGCAUGGUGCCUCUUUAUUCUGGUUUCAAAUUGUUUAUCGUCUUUGAUGGAGAAUGCUAUGACUAAGAAAGAUAUAAAAGGGAUCAAACUGAACAGGUUCUGUCCAACACUCCCCCACUUGUUAUUUGCGGACGACUCCAUUCUUUUUUCUAAAUGGAACCAUUCAAGAGUGUGAAAAUGUUUCAACUGUUCUUAACCAGUAUUGCUAUGCCAUCGAACAAGCCAUAAAUCUGGAUAAAUCAGGUAUAUUUUUCAGCAAGAAUUGUGCUCAAUUAUUAAGAAACAAUAUGAUGGGAGCAUUGAGAAUUCCAAAUAUGGGUCUUAUAGGAAAGUACAUUGGCCUUCCCUCUAAUUGGGGAAAUUCAAAGAGACAUAUGUUCGCCUGGAUCUUAGGGAGAGUAAAAACGAAGUUGGAAGGAUGGAAGGAACAAAUUGUGUCUAAAGCAGGCAAAGAAAUUGUACUGAAAUCAAUGGUUCAAGCUACUCCACAUUAUGCAAUGUCAAUCUUUAAAAUUCCUAUGUCAGUUGGUAAAGCUGUAGAGCGAAAAAUAGCAAAUUUCUGGUGGAAAAACAGUGUACAAAAACUGGUUAACACUGAUAAAGAUGGGAAUAAUGAAAACAAGAAAAGACAAAGGAGGAAUGGGCUUCGGGGAUUUAAUUACUGUCAACAAAGCUGUCCUGGGUAAACAAGCUUGGAGAUUGGCGAAAAAUCUAGAUGCAUUAUGGAGUAAGUCACUUAAAGGACGGUAUCUCAAUCAUACUGAUUUCCGGCAUACUGAGAAAGCGUCAAGACCAUCAUGGGUUUGACAAAGUAUCUUGACAGGAAGAGAAGCAAUUUCGAAUUCAGUAACGUGGUCAAUAGGAAAUGAAGAAAAGGUUCAAAUCAGAACAGAUAAGUGGCUGAAGAGGGGCAUCGUUGGAGGUCCAAAGAAUAGAAACGAUCCACAAUUUGUUUCAGAGUUAAUGAACUUUGAAAAAGGAAGUUGGAAUGAGCAACUUCUAAAUAACUUGUUUGAUGAACAGACCACACAGGAGAUCUUAGCUAUUCCAAUCAAGUGUCAGAAUCCAAAUGAUGAACUAGUGUGGACGGGCACCAAGUGUGGAAAUUUCUCAGUAAAAAAUGGAUAUAAUACCCUCAGACAAGAAUCGGCAAACAAGGCACAACAAGUUCAACCAUCAACAUCUUACCAAAUCCCAAAGUCCCUAUGGAUUGCAUUUUGGAACUUGCAGACAUGCACAAAAGUAAAGAUCUUUCUAUGGAGUUUAUGUCAAAAUGUCAUUCCAUCCAAGGAAAAUCUGUGGAAGAGAAAUAUCUUAGCCGAUCCUGUAUGUGACUAGCGUAGAAGCGAAGUGAAAACGGUUGAACAUAUAUUCUUACGUUGCCAUUGGACAGAGCUCGUAUGGUCUGACCCUAGUCUCAAAAUCCAAAAUUUAACAUGAGGGGUUCUCGGAUUGACAGUUGGUUGAUGAAUUUUAUGAGUAAUUCGACGAACUUACCUAAAUUUGAGAUGGUGGCGACUGUUCUUUUGGCAUCUUUGGAAGGCCCGAAACAACUGGAUAUUCAGGGGAAGCAAACCAAAUGCAAGAGACCUUGUGGAAUUAGCUCGGAUUAUGCAGCAAAAUGCUAAAAAAUGGGGCUUGUGCUCAGAGGAUAGGACAAAGAGGAAAUCUCACCUCAGCACGAGUGUGGACAGCUCCGGUGGAGGGGAUCUUGAAAAUUAGUAUUGAUGGGUCUCUUGGCGAAUGGUCGACCGAGGGUGCAAUCACUUGCAUCUGUCGAGACUAUACGGUUUGCUUGGUCGAUGGCUUCACCCGAUCCGUCCAAGCGUCCUCUCCGGCACAGAUCGAAGCCCUAGCUCUACUUGCAGCCCUCAAGUACAUCGACCAGAACAAGUUAAGCGGUGAGUGGUAGAGGCAGUCUGAGAAGGCCAUAAACAAAUGGAUCACCUUAAGACAAGGUCCUGGCGCAGAUUAAUAUGUAAGAACAACCUAUUUUCUUAGCAAAUUGGAAAUAUUCUAGUAUAUAAGACAGUUCAUAUGAGGAUUUCCAACAUAA